rnacentral:tRNA from 1 species
UCCCAAAUAGUCUAGGCGGGUUAGGAUACGUUGGUUUCACCCACGCGACCCGGGUUCGGGUCCCGGUUUGGGAA